CUUCCUACGGGAGGCAGCAGUGAGGAAUAUUGGUCAAUGGGCUUACGCCUGAACCAGCCAAGUCGCGUGAGGGAAGACUGCCCUAUGGGUUGUAAACCUCUUUUGUCAGGGAGCAAUUGGCGCUACGUGUAGCGUUAUCGAGAGUACCCGAAGAAAAAGCAUCGGCUACCUCCGUGCCAGCAGCCGCGGUAAUACGGAGGAUGCGCGCGUUAUCCGGAUUUAUUGGGUUUAAAGGCUGCGCAGGCGGACCAUCAAGUCAGCGGUAAAAUCGUGCGGCCCAACCCCCUCCCGCCGUU
rnacentral:rRNA from 1 species